rnacentral:misc_RNA from 1 species
UAUAAGAAGUGGUGUGACUGUCGUAACAUUCGGUAUGUGUGAAAUUCAGGACUGGAAUUUGAAACUUUGAAAACUAUUUUAUCUUAAGGUUGUGAAAUUGUGAAUCAGAAAUUUGUUCUGUACAAACUGAUUGAAGAUUGGAUGGCUAGUUUAGAUAUUCGACAAGCAUACCAAUUAGAGUAGUGCUAAAAGUCUUAUUGGGACAAUUAGCCUGUCCAUUAUCAGCAUGGGCUGUUUGUUCAGAAGCACGGUCAACUUUGACGUACCUCAUCAUUUGAUUUUAGAAUUUUUUUAAAAAGAAUUAAAAUCCUGCAUCUCCCUUUCCCCAUGUGCAAAGAAUAUUGUUCUUUUCUUAAAUAUUGUUGUAGAAAUUGGGGUUUUUUUCUGUUAAAAGUUGUGAAAUUUUGGUUGUACAAAUUGGAUCAACUGCCAAAUAGAUGUUUUAUAACAUUUCAUUCAGUGGAAGAGACAUUUCUGUUUUUGAUGAAACUUGUACCAAGUUGUUAAUAAUAUUUUUUUUUACCGGUAUACAUGAUCAAUUGAAAUCAAUAAUUUGGUCCUGAUCUUUUCUUUUUUUUAUCAUUUUACUUUCCAUGGAAGUCUGUAAAGUAUGUUGAUGUACAUGCUUUUAUUUGGCUGUAGUGUUUUACAGAGUGGUUUUAAACCACCCAUUUUGUAUUUAUUAUUAUUAUUUUAUUAUUAACUUAAUUUUCAGUUUACAGUCCAUGUUGUAUUUUUCGUUUCAUUAACUCCUUGGUUUUGGAGAUCCACCUCAUUCUGAGUUUCUUUAUGGGCGGUCAGAUUUUCGCAGAGCCUGAUUUCGGUUCAUUUUUGGAGCAGGGCUUCGAUCAUCUUCAAACAUUGCUUUCUAGAAUUGCAUCAUUUUCCAACUUAUUUGCAUAUUGAUGUUAUGAAAGGUGAUUGCCAAAAAAUGUUAACCUUUUUUUUUUCAUUUACAAUUAAAGUUCAUUUAGGGUGUGUUUACAGUGGUUUAGUCAUUUCACGAGAAACCUUUUGUUUUAAUGAGUUGUUAUGAUUUGAAGAUUUUUUUUGUUAUUUAAUAAUGUAAGAAUGAACUCUGAGGUAAAGUGAUGUCGUGAUUUUAAUAUAGAAGCAAUUCAGCAAUUUUGUUUAAGCUAGAUUCAUUUCAGCUUCUGUGUAUGUCUAGUUGUUCAACAAAUAGUGUCUUAUGUUAAUCAUUUUGUUAUAUAUUGUAAUACUCUUCAUUCAGUUAAUAAAAUGUCAUUAAUUUA